UACGUAGGUCCCGAGCGUUGUCCGGAUUUAUUGGGCGUAAAGCGAGCGCAGGCGGUUUGAUAAGUCUGAAGUUAAAGGCUGUGGCUCAACCAUAGUUCGCUUUGGAAACUGUCAAACUUGAGUGCAGAAGGGGAGAGUGGAAUUCCAUGUGUAGCGGUGAAAUGCGUAGAUAUAUGGAGGAACACCAGUGGCGAAAGCGGCUCUCUGGUCUGUAACUGACGCUGAGGCUCGAAAGCGUGGGGAGCGAACAGG
rnacentral:rRNA from 1 species